rnacentral:miRNA from 1 species
UUAGGUUGGUGCAAAAGUAAUUGCAGUUUUUGUCAUUACUUUUGCAUGGCAAAACUGCAAUUACUUUUGCACCAGCCUAAUAGUUA